ensembl:snRNA U1 U1 spliceosomal RNA
AUACUUACCUGGCAGGGGAGGUACCUUGAUCACGAAUGUGGUUUUCCUAAGGCGAAGCUUAUCCAUUUCACUCCGGAAGUGUUGACCCCUGCGAUUUCCCCAAAUGUGGUAAACUCCACUGCAUAAUUUGUGGUAGUGGGGAACUGUGUUCGUGCUUUCCCCUG